UGGUCAAGUUAUUAAGGGUGCAGGGCGGAUGCCUUGGCACUAGGAGCCGAUGAAGGACGUGAUAAGCUGCGAUAAGCUUCGGGGAGUUGCACGUAAACUUUGAUCCGAAGAUUUCCGAAUGAGGAAACUCACUUAGAGUAAUGUCUAAGUAUCAUUAAGUGAAUACAUAGCUUAAUGAGGGGAACUCAGGGAACUGAAACAUCUAAGUACCUGAAGGAAGAGAAAGAAAUUCGAUUCCGUAAGUAGCGGCGAGCGAACGCGGAUUAGCCCAAACCAAUAAAGUUUUCUUUAUUGGGGUUGCGGACAUAUCAUAACGAAGAGGUAUCGUAAUUGAAGAGGUUUGGAAAGACUCACCACAGAAGGUAAUAGUCCUGUAUGUUAAACGAGAAGACUUUAGAUAUGAUCCAGAGUACCACGGGACACGUGAAACCCUGUGGGAAGCAGGAGGGACCACCCUCCAAGGCUAAAUACUACCUAGUGACCGAUAGCGUAUAGUACCGUGAGGGAAAGGUGAAAAGAACCCCGGGAGGGGAGUGAAAUAGAACCUGAAACCCUGCACUUACAAGCUGUGGAAGCACAUUUCUUGUGUGACCGCGUACUUUUUGUAGAACGGGCCAACGAGUUACGUUAAGUAGCAAGGUUAAGCACUUAAGGUGCGGAGCCGUAGCGAAAGCGAGUUUUAACUGAGCGUUCAGUUACUUGACGUAGACCCGAAACCGGGCGACCUACCCAUGAGCAGGAUGAAGCGAAAGUAAAAUUUCGUGGAGGUCCGAACCCACGAGCGUUGAAAAGCUCGGGGAUGACUUGUGGGUAGCGGUGAAAUUCCAAUCGAGCCCGGAGAUAGCUGGUUCU
rnacentral:rRNA from 1 species